UACGGGGGGAGCAAGCGUUGUUCGGAUUUACUGGGCGUAAAGGGCGCGUAGGCGGCCCGCUAAGUCGAACGUGAAAUCCCCAGGCUCAACCUGGGAACUGCGUCCGAUACUGGCAGGCUUGAAUCCGGGAGAGGGAUGUGGAAUUCCAGGUGUAGCGGUGAAAUGCGUAGAUAUCUGGAGGAACACCGGUGGCGAAGGCGGCAUCCUGGACCGAGAUUGACGCUGAGGCGCGAAAGCCAGGGGAGCAAACGGGG
rnacentral:rRNA from 1 species